rnacentral:rRNA from 1 species
ACGGCUCAGUAACACGUGGACAAUCUAACCUACGGAGGGGGAUAACCCCGGGAAACUGGGGAUAAUACCCCAUAGACUAUGGAUGCUGGAAUGCUUUGUAGUCGAAAGGUCCGCCGCCGUAGGAUGGGUCUGCGGCCGAUUAGGUUGUUGUUGGGGUAACGGCCCAACAAGCCUGUAAUCGGUACGGGUUGUGGGAGCAAGAGCCCGGAGAUGGAUUCUGAGACACGAAUCCAGGCCCUACGGGGCGCAGCAGGCGCGAAAACUUUACAAUGCGGGAAACCGUGAUAGGGGAACUCUGAGUGCCCGUUAAAUCGGGCUGUCCAUCAGUUUAAAUAACUGGUGAAGAAAGGGCCGGGCAAGACCGGUGCCAGCCGCCACGGUAAUACCGGCGGCUCGAGUGGUGGCCACUAUUACUGGGCUUAAAGCGUUCGUAGCUGGUUUGUUAAGUCUCUGGGGAAAUCUUCCGGCUUAACCGGAAGGCGUCUCAGGGAUACUGGCAGACUAGGGACCGGGAGAGGUGAGGGGUACUCCAGGGGUAGGAGUGAAAUCCUGUAAUCCUUGGGGGACCACCUGUGGCGAAGGCGCCUCACCAGAACGGCUCCGACAGUGAGGGACGAAAGCUGGGGGAGCAAACCGGAUUAGAUACCCGGGUAGUCCCAGCUGUAAACGAUGCGCGUUAGGUGUAUCGAUGACCACGAGUCAUCGAGGUGCCGAAGAGAAAUCGUGAAACGUGCCGCCUGGGAAGUACGGUCGCAAGGCUGAAACUUAAAGGAAUUGGCGGGGGAGCAC